AGGGUGUAAACGCUGCAGACUUGGUGUUGGAAGCCCUUUGGGGGCAUUCAGUGCCGGAGAGAAGUUGUUAAGUCUGCUACUUGGGGAGUACGUCCGCAAGGAUGAAACUUAAAGGAAUCGGCGGGGGAGCACCGCAACGGGAGGAGCGUGCGGUUUAAUUGGAUUCAACACCGUAAACUCACCAGGGAAGACUGUUACAUGAAGGCCGAGAUGAAGACUCUGCCAGAUUUUCAGAGAGGUGGUGCAUGGCGUCAGUGACU
rnacentral:rRNA from 1 species